rnacentral:rRNA from 1 species
GAUGAACGCUGGCGGCGUGCCUAAUACAUGCAAGUCGAGCGAAUGGAUUAAGAGCUUGCUCUUAUGAAGUUAGCGGCGGACGGGUGAGUAACACGUGGGUAACCUGCCCAUAAGGCUGGGAUAACUCCGGGAAACCGGGGCUAAUACCGGAUAACAUUUUGAACCGCAUGGUUCGAAAUUGAAAGGCGGCUUCGGCUGUCACUUAUGGAUGGACCCGCGUCGCAUUAGCUAGUUGGUGAGGUAACGGCUCACCAAGGCAACGAUGCGUAGCCGACCUGAGAGGGUGAUCGGCCACACUGGGACUGAGACACGGCCCAGACUCCUACGGGAGGCAGCAGUAGGGAAUCUUCCGCAAUGGACGAAAGUCUGACGGAGCAACGCCGCGUGAGUGAUGAAGGCUUUCGGGUCGUAAAACUCUGUUGUUAGGGAAGAACAAGUGCUAGUUGAAUAAGCUGGCACCUUGACGGUACCUAACCAGAGAGCCACGGCUAACUACGUGCCAGCAGCCGCGGUAA